CAUGGAUCAAUGAAUAACAUUAGAAUAGAGAGAUUAAAAAACAAGCUAGGGACCCAUCAGUUACCAACAGCUGAAUUGCUAUUAGAUGGAACAAUGGCUCAACUGAUUGGAGAGAAAGGGCAUGGGAUAUCACUUAUAUCACCAUUGCUCCUUAUAACCUGCUGGCAUAAUACAAUAUCAGCAGUAGAUAGUAUGAGACGGUAUGCACUAAGAAAGUUUGUGAUAUCAAGAAGAAGUUUAUUGAACUAGUAGGAGUUUUAAAUUGGGAAGAAGUGACAGUCAAGUAUCCUGAAUUCGCUCAGGAGGAAAAACUUUGUGAAAAGUUUCAGAUGAAUAAAUAGUUGCAACCACUUAAACAAGCAAUGAAGGCAAAGGAAGCAUUAGUAUGUCUGGGUAAUUCUGAGAGUAAGGUGUCUCAUUAAACAUCAUGAAAAUUUUGUACUUUGUCUACAAGCAUCACCAGAGUCAAUUUCUCGUGCUGUUUUGAAGACUGAAUUGAAUGGUUACCCUGGUUCUCUGUGUCAAUUUUUAAUGUUAAAGAGUAUGAUGAGAUUAUUGCAUAUGAUUGUAUGAUUAGAACUGUUAACACAGCUGCAGGACUGACUGAAUAUUUUGUGAUUUUUAGUGUGCCACCAAAUGAUUUAGAAUUGUUUUCAGUGGCAUCAAAAUUCAUGUCAGAAUCUGAUUUUAUGUUGAAUUGGCUUAUCUUAAAAACAGUGACAACUUGAAAAUUCAGUACUGUUGCCUGUAGCUGCUCCUUUCUUCAUUGCUUGUACAGAGAAAAGGAACAAACAGUUAUCAACUUACAAUAUGGAGAAUUUGGUCCCUCAUGAAGUCGCAUUACUAACAAGACUUAGUGAGAAGGGUGGCUAUAUUUUGUCCGUAAAUGUAUCAUCAGGUAUUGUUGCUGAUUUGGUAAAGAAAGUUCUUGUUGACUGGAUUCACUCAGGCUUCUAUGAUCACAGACUUGGAGAAGUUACUUGCUGUCACUGACUAAACUCUAAUAAAAAAUAUGUAAACUAUUAUGGUUGUUUGAAAUUUUAAAGUAUUAUUGUUAUAGUUUGAAGUAAUGUACAUGUAUAAUUUUUGCGUUUUGAAUUUUCAGAUUGCAACUGAUGCAGUUUUUGAAUAUAAAA